rnacentral:sRNA from 2 species
ACCACUGCUAAUCUAUACUGCUGCCAAUCUAUCUAUCGCUGCCAAUCUACCUACCACUGCCAAUCUAUCUACCACUGCUAAUCUAUCUAUCGCUGCUAAUCUAUUGCUACUAAUCUAUCGCUGCUAAUCUAUCGCUGCUAAUCUAUCGCUGCUAAUCUAUUGCUGCUAAUCUAUUGCUGUCAAUCUAUCUACCACUGCCAACCUACCUACUGCUGCCAAUCUAUCUAUCGCUGCUAAUCUAUCGCUGCUAAUCUAUUGCUGCCAACCUACCUACUGCUGCCAACCUACCUACCACUGCCAAUCUAUCUACCACUGCCAAUCUAUCUACCACUGCUAAUCUAUCACCGCUGCCAAUCUAUAUAGGGUAAAUCAUGGUCCCAUUUGAUUCCAUUUUGUAAAAAUGAGACCAAAUGAGAUCAGAAUCACUAAUUUAUUAGUAAAACAUAAUCUGAGACUAGAUUUAUAAUAUAAACAGUGUAAAGUGACUAAUUUACUAAACACUAUAUGGAAUCAGAACUAAGAUAUCUAAUAAUGAAACUGAGGAAAAAUUUGGUCUCAGUUUUAUAUAUGAUCACAUGAUCAGUCUAUUUCUAUAUAAUUAUAAUUUGAAGAUUCUGAACUUUUCUGAG